UACGAAGGGGGCUAGCGUUGCCCGGAAUCACUGGGCGUAAAGCGCACGUAGGCGGCUUUUUAAGUCAGAGGUGAAAUCCUGGAGCUCAACUCCAGAACUGCCUUUGAUACUGAGAGGCUUGAGUCCGGGAGAGGUGAGUGGAACUGCGAGUGUAGAGGUGAAAUUCGUAGAUAUUCGCAAGAACACCAGUGGCGAAGGCGGCUCACUGGCCCGGUACUGACGCUGAGGUGCGAAAGCGUGGGGAGCAAACAGG
rnacentral:rRNA from 1 species